AAGGGGUAAUACCGAAAACCCUGAAAUAGAGUAGGUA
rnacentral:ncRNA from 1 species